CAACGUGAGCAGGAAUCUGAAUGAAGCCAUCGGCAAAUCUCCGGUCCGAGGAACACGAGCUUCUUAUAAGGCUAGCGUUCAUUGGAUGAAGUUACUACACAAACCAAAGUUGAUACUGCUGAAGGCGUACGAGAGUAAAUGAGGGGA
rnacentral:ncRNA from 1 species